rnacentral:rRNA from 1 species
ACUCAAAUGAAUUGACGGGUGCCCGCACAAGCAGCGGAGCGUGUGGUUCAAUUCGAUGCUACGCGAAGAACCUUACCUGGGUUUGACAUAUAGGUGGUAGAGAACGGAAACGGGAUCGACCCUUCGGGGAGCCUAUACAGGUGCUGCAUGGCUGUCGUCAGCUCGUGUCGUGAGAUGUCCGGUUAAGUCCGGUAACGAGCGCAACCCCUGCUGUAUGUUAUAUGUGUCAUACGGGACUGCCGGUAUCAAGCCGGAGGAAGGUGGGGAUGACGUCAAGUCAGCAUGGCCUUUAUAUCCAGGGCUACACACACGCUACAAUGGCUAAGACAAUGGGUUGCAAGACCGCGAGGUGGAGCCAAUCCUCAAACUUAGCCCCAGUUCGGAUUGCAGGCUGCAACUCGCCUGCAUGAAGUCGGAGUUGCUAGUAACCGCGCGUCAGCAUUAGUGCGGUGAAUACGUUCCCGGGCGUUGUACACACCGCCCGU